UUCUAUAACUAAGUAAAUCUAAAAUUCUAAUUACUCAAUAUUUCUAACGCCAGAAAACCUAAUUAAGAACUAAUGACAAUUAGUUAUCAUAACAUUCAUAAAAAUUCUAUUUUAACUAAAUCAAAACCUUAACCUAGUUAAAUUCUAAUUAUACUAUUAAGAAGUGAAGGUGUUAAUUCGGUCUUGGAAAUGAAGAGCGACGCGUGCAAGUGAUCACUUGGUCGGCAGCUUUUGAACGGAACGCGUUGUUGAAGCGAGUUGUUGUGCGAGAAUGAGAGUUGAAGGUUGCUCCAAGGGUUGCCGAGCCGUCGCGAAUUGUGAGCGUGAAGAGGAUGAAUCCGCUUUCCGCCGUUGUUGGUGCUCGAUGACGGUGAGGGAUGAGGAAUGAAGACUCGAGUUCGUGCUUGGCCAAUUGAGACGACAACGCUUCUUGAACCGCUUAGGAAUGGAAGGAAUUGAUUGCUGUGUAUGAGUUUGAAGGUUGAGGGCGGAGAGAAGAUGGAAAUGAGGUUGAAGGUGGAGGAGAAGGAAGUGAAGAAAAAAAGAAAAAGGUUGAAGAAGCGUGAAUGUGGUGAGAGGAUCCAACCAUUUGAGAGAGAUUGAGGUUUUGUCUCUGAUACUUGGAGGAAGAAAAGAUAUAUUGAGUUCCAUCAGUUAUGGUUCUGACUUUUGUUGAAGUUCUAUUGCAGGUUUGAGUUGGUUAUAGUUAUGAAGCUGCAAAAUUCAGUUGGUUAGUUAACUGUUGGAUCUGGUUUUCUGCAGGUUUCGCAUUGCCGGUGUUGCUGUUGGAUGUGGAAGGCCGUUGUUGUUGCUUGUACAUCAGCUUAUGGUUUUUAUCUUGUGUAGUCGUUGCUGUUGUAGUUGUUGCGGGAUUGAGUUUUGCCGGCGGUUCUAUGUAGCUUGUACGGUUUGGUGUAUCAAGUUGUCGAUUUCUAAUGCAGCUGGUGUUGUUGUCGUUUAGCAGCCGUUGCGUUUGCGCGUCAUUUGCUUUGAGAUGCUUCGCAGCUAGUUGCCAUUCGCAGCGUGCGAACUUGCCACAACAUGUCGUUUGCGUUUCACCUUUUUUACCCUGUGCUUGGAUCGUCGUUUUGUGCGUAACAUUUGGUAGCUUUUGAGCACAUGCGUUUUUGUACGUUGCAGCUGAUGUGAACUGGUUUGCUCGUAGCUUUCAAUUCCAAUUGCUUUGGCUUUAUAUGUUAAAUGGACAAUUGUUAGAAAUGAAUUUAAAUUUUCUUAGCGGA